GGUGUUUUUUAGGUCCAUAUGAGCAGCAGGAUCUUUACCUAGGACCCUCUCAACUCAAAAGAAGGGUCAGACUUCAUUUCAUUUCUGAAAAUGAAAACCAAGGUCACGCACUUGGGAGCUAGAUCAUUGUAAAAGGGAGUGCCUGUUUCAGCUGGCCAUUCCCAGGUAUUGUUUUACCAAGUAGAUAUUUGAAAGUGGCACCAGCUUCCCUUGGCAAAAUCAUGUGUGGAUAGCAUUGAAUGAUCUUUGAGGCAGUGAUUGAAUUGCGGCUGUUGACAUUUUCACUAAGUGCAUUGGUAGAAGCAAUUGCUGGGAAGUUAGUCACGCCUCAAUCUGUGGGCUGCCCCCCAACUGGAAAAUGAAGAGAAGGAAGAGGAGAGUAAAGCAGAUGUAAACUCACUGCUGUCACAUUGCUGUUGCAAUGACUUGAUUGAUAAUCAAUAAAAGAUGUGCAAGAAGCUUGGACGAUCAGUAACCCUGUGGGCAGGUAAGAUUUGUGACUUCUUUUUCAUGUUGGUGGCUCCUGAUGGCCUGAGGAGCUCUCCUGUCAAUUCUAGGGACAUGGAUAGUUAUAUCUGUGUAUCAGUUUGGAUUGCUUUUAAAUACCAGUAAUAAAAAAAAUGGACUACUAAUAACUAAGCAAAUAGGAAUUUAUGUUUCUCAUUGAGCAAAAAAGUUGAAAGGUAGGUAGGUCCAAGGCUGGUGCAAUGCUCCUUGAUGUCAGAGAACCUCAAGGCUUCUCCUUCCUUACCACUCUUCAUACCUCGUCUAUCAACUCUUGCCUCAAUGACACAAGAUAGCUGCUUCAGCUCCAGGUGUCCUACUCGAGCCCAAGGCAGGAAAAAUUUGAGAAGAGGAAAGAAGCUUUAAAUGUUGGCUUAGCCAGAGAAACCUGGGACAUGAUUUUGGUCCUGAAGCAAUAAAAAUUAAUUAAUUUUUUUGUUUGUUUUUUGUCCUUUUAGGGCCACACCUGAGGCAUAUGGAGGUUCCCAGGCUAGGGGUCUAAUCGGAGCUACAGCUGCUGGCCUACACCAGAACCACAGCAACACCAGAUCCAAGCUGUGUCUUCGACUUCACCACAGCUCACGGCAACCCACUGAGCAAGGCCAGGGAUCAAACACACACCUCAUGGUUCCUAGUUGGAUUUGUUUCUGCUGUGCCAUGAUGGGAACUCCCAAGAAAAAUUAAUUUUAAACCCAGAAACAUUUUGGUCUUCUCUAAACUUAUCCAGGCCAGAGAUUCUUGGCAACCUUAACAUCUUCCCCCCUGAUAACCUGGUUCCAGAAAUUUUUUUUUACCAAAACAGAGCUGUAAGCCAUCAUAAAGCAGGACUUUUUUUUGUUUUUUUGUUUUUCUAUGGCUGCUUAAAAUAUUUGUAGCAUUUAAAAGUCCUGCUUUGGGAGUUCCCGUUGUGGCUCAUGUAUCCAUGAGGAUGUGGGUUUGAUCUCUGGCCUCCCUCGGUGGGUUAAGGAUCCAGUGUUGCCAUGAGCUGUGGUGUAGGUUGCAGACGUGGCUUGGAUUCCCUGUUGCUGUGGCUGUGGUAUAGGCUGACAGCUGUAGCUCCGAUUCUACCCCUAGCUUGGGAACUUCCAUGUACCGUGGGUGAGGCCCAAAAAAGAAUUAAAAAGGGGAAAAAAAUGUAAGAGAAAGUUGGUGGAGUAAUUUAUCCUGGAAUUAGAAGCAAUCUGCCUACUAGCCUAUUUUGUCAUCACUUCCCAACUAGGAUUUCAGAGCACUGGCUCCUUGAGCAAAAGAAUGAGUCACCAAUUGCAAAGUCCCAUCCUCUCAUCAGCUCGCAGUGAAACUCUGAGGCACGGGCUGCGGGGUGCUCCAGCCCGGUGAGGUCUAUGCCAGGGCCUCCACCCCCACCAGCUGGAUGGACUGCUUUAUUGCUCGGCAAACAGGCAACUCCCUUCCCUCUUUGCGUGAUUGCACCCCUCAACAUCAACUGUCAUCUGAGCACCCUUUGCUUUAAUUCCACUUGCCACAGAAAAGAUACAAGGAGCCAGCACUAGGUCAACAUGAUCCUCUUAUAAUCACCCCUUUCAAAGGGACUGGCAGAUAAAAUGCCCACAUCAGGCGAGGGCUUACUUCAAGUCCUGGAGGCAUCUGCUAACACUAACUGGCAGCCUGGUCAGCAAACACACUGAGCAAAGAUGUGCUAAUAAUGCCUAGCUUUUUCUUUGGCAUAAAGCUCCCCUAAUCCUCCGGUACACAUGGCGCUUCCCAACAGACAGGUGAGGAAACUGAGGCAUUGGUUAAGCAAAUUGUCUGAGCUUGCAAGAGAGCUGAUAUCCAAGUCCAGGCUUCAUCUGGCUCCCAAAUCUAGUCUUACUGUUAGGUAAAAAAGUAAAACGGCCUCUCUUCAUCAUGUGUAGGCUCCUCCAGGAUUGAGAAGGAAAGAUACUAUUUGAAACAAAAUUAUAUUUUCUGAGACAAGAACCAUAUGGUAAUUCAUCCAAUUCUGCUCUCUUUACAGGAUUAUAGAGAAAGUACCUGCUUUCUCAGCACAAACAGUUUUGAUCUGUCACAAGGCUCCCACCCUGCCCUGGAGAUACAGCCCUGCAGAGAGCUGUGCUGUGUGCACAAAGAUAGGAAAACCAGAAGGGCUCUCAGAGAGGUCACAAAGCAAGAAAUGCUCAUUAAUCCUCUAAAAUCUGUUUUACGUGCCUUAGCUUUCCCCUGCAAGAAGGCUGACUCAUGUGUUGAUCUUGACACUUGUAACUUUCUAGCACUUGUUUUUUUGUUUUUAGCCUCACCCUUGGUAUGUGGAAGUUCCCAAGCUAGGGAUCAAACCUGCUCCACAGCAGCGACGCGAGCCACAGCAGUGACAAUGCCAGAUCCCUAAACCUCUGUGCCGCAAGAGAACUCCCUGUUUCUAUCAUCUGUACACAAGGAGCUAGAUACAGAGGGAAGCACAUGAUAAGAAAGGAAGGGAUCAGGAGUUCCUGCUGUGGCACAACGGAGUCUGUGGCGUCUUGGCAGUGUUAGGACACAGGUGCCAUGCUCUGCCAGGCAGAAUAAGUUCAAGGAUCCAGCAUUGUGGCAACCACAAGUGUAGGUCCCAGCUGUGGCUCAGAUCUGAUCCCUGGUCCGGGGACUCCAUUUUAUGCUGUGGGGCAGCCAGAGAGAGAAAGAAAGAGAGAGGGAGAGAGAAAGGAAGAGAGAGAGAAAGGAAGAAAGAGAAAGAGAGAG
rnacentral:lncRNA from 1 species